UGGGGCUUGGCUCAGAUUGACGUUUUCUCUCCCUUAGAUCAAAUCCAGUUCCUCUAUCCCCGCUUCUCUUCUCCUCCGCCGACUAUCCACUUCUCUUCUCUCCUACACCUGAAAAUUGCAGAAAUCUUGUUCUCUUAUCCGGGGAGGAAGGACCGUCCGAUCUGGGUGGUUGAAGUCACUGUCGACGGAGACGACGCAGCAAAGCCUGGUUCCGGCAGAGCUUGUUCGGUGAGCGGAAUUUUGUUGUCCGAGGUGGUGGUGUAGGCGGCCAUGGUUGUAAAGAACAAGAAGGCGAAGACGAAGAGCAUGAAGGUCUCCCGUCCCCCAUGCAUCUUUCUAAUCUGAUCGGGUUCCUCACUUUCUUGAAUUUCACUCUCAGUCUGCAAACCUGAAAUGUUUGGUGGUGGUGGUCUGUUUGUUUUGGUCUCAGAUUCAUCAUUGUCUUCCUCUCCGCCAAUCUCGUCAACUUCUUCAUCCUCAUAAAACUCAAAUUCAAGCAGCUCCAAUUAACACCCACCUCAAAAAUCUCGAAAACUCCCCCAAUUGAUUUUCCAAGGUUAGCUUGCCAACGUGUUACUCCUUGGAGGGCUUGUUAAUGUGCUUAGUAAAGUUGUGCUUAAAAAUGUUCAGUAGGGAGCAGCAACAACUUGCUAUGUGGCAUUGCAUCCACAAGCUAAAGGGGUGAGCGGUGAAUAUUUUUCAGACAGUAAUAUUUCCAAGCCAACAUCCCAAGUUUCAGCGAUUACCCAAUCUUCCUCCCCCGCCUCCUCUUCCGGUUUGAAGAAGAAGGUUGAGGAUAUUAUGCCAAUUGCUACCGGUCAUGAGCGCGAGGAACUUCAGGCUGAGCUCCAGGCAUAUCAAAAAGAAAAAAGGCCGAAGGUGAAGAAGAAAUAGAAAAAGAAUAUGAAAAAGAAGAAAAAUCUGUACCAAGGGGUAAUUUAGUCAUUUUAUCCAAAAAUGAUAGUCAACAGCUGAAAAGUGGGUCCGGAUGUCUGGUCCAGCUCAGCAUGUGACAUCACCUUUCGAGCCAAAUUUGAAUUUUGGACUUGUGUGAUGGAAAAUAGAAGUGUAAGGACCAUCAUGAUUAAAAAAAAUGUCAGGGACCAAAAUGAUGUUUGCCCAACUCCUAAGUC
rnacentral:lncRNA from 1 species